UCCAUUUAUUUUAAAUCCUGUAAUUUUUGUGAACGAAAUUUCUUAUACGGCACUUGAGGAAUUAUUUUUACAAAUGAAAACGAUGAAAUUUUAUUGAAUCAUUGAAAAAAAAAUCACAAACAUUUAUCAAUAACGAAUUUUUCCAAAAUUUCAAGAGACAUUUUCUUCUUCACUUGUUAAAAAUCCUGGUGGAUUAAUAAUCGAUCGAACGCUUCUGAAAUGCCAACUAAAAAUCAUCACCAACAGGGAUUGAUAAAAUUGAUAAAAUAAAGAGAAGCUGACUGGUCGUAGACUCUACGUAACGUAAUUGAUGUUAUUUUAUCGGCAAAUAUGUACGCCGGGGCUUAAUAGGGUGGAAAGACCGAUAAUUCAUCCAACGCCUUCAGCUUCACGGUCGUACACAAUUCAUAUUAUUUAUCUAUAUUCUCCGAGGGUGAUACGCCAGUUGACAUUGAUCGAGAAUAAAACUCCGGUUCAAAUUUAUGAUGGUUAAUUAAUGAAAAAUCGUGAACUGAUUGAGUGACGUAUUUUCAAUGAAGAUGAUUAGAGAAAUACCCAGAGCGACUCGGUGUGACUGUCGGCGACAAUUGAUUGAGUAUUCCCCAGUAAAAAAAUAUGCCCAUCGGAGAGAGGGCCUCCUCCAUCAGUCCAUGGCAAUUAAAAUUAAUUGGAAUGAUGAGAAGAAAAAUUGCAAAAAAUUGUGUAAUUUCCAAGAAUGCGAGAAUGAGAAAUUCGUGAAGGUCGACCAUGCUUACAACUGUACGAAACUCUUAGCACUGAAUUUUUAUUUGCGUUUGAAUAGCGUAAAAAUAGGCAGAAUGUGCACCAAAUGCCCCGAAGUAUUUUGAUAGAAGAAGUGGAGCAAUGGAGGAACAAAAAAAUGGAUGAAGGGGGAGGAGAUAGGCUUUGAUGGUAGCGCUGAGUACGGAAUAGAAAAAUAAGUAAAAAAAAAUUGUGGAGAGAGAAAAAAAAGCGAAAGAAAUCGUUGGAAACGUUUGUCUGCUUGAGUUUCCUGAGCGUGACACAACGAGAAGAGAAAUAGAGAAGAAGACAAAAAAAGUAGAUAAUGCAGGCGUAAUGGUGAGUGCAUGCCAGUGGGACAGGUUCAACGAAUGUGGGACGUACGGAAGGACGAUCGAGUAUCGAUUAUUUGGGUUACCGGGGGGGGGGGAGGAGGAGGAGUGAAUUUAUACGCUUCCGCAUGGGCUAGGGACACCCAAGGUCCUUCAGUUCUUCAGUGAAUUGUGUGUACCAGCUCCUCUUUCUAUCACUUCACAGCUACUCCUCUUGUCGCUUUUGUUUUCGUUAGCUGGGGUGUUAUCUAGACGGUUCCGACAAAUUGUCCGCGCGAGGGGUGGCGAUGGGAGGAAGGGGAAUUACGGGGCCAGGAGGUGACGACGGGAUGGGUCAGACGAGGAGAUGCUUUCAAUGGGUUUCAUUGAAGACACCUCGGAGGUCAAUGGAUUUUUUUUAUCUGUUGGAGAAUUUUUGAAUGUCGAUGGGACGACGGCGAUGGAGCGUUGAUGGUAUUUAUAAGGGUUUCGGGGUGUAGAUAUUUAUGAAUUGAUUUCGGGUAGUGGGAUUUCUGAGGGAGAUCAUUCUUCGGGAGAAACCGAAUUGUCUCUGGCGAGUCAUCGAGGAGUUUCAUUGAAUAUUUUUAAAAUUUUUGGAGCUUUGGGAAUUUUUGGAUAUUUAUGAGAAGAACUCGACAGGUUAUCCAUGCGUGUAUGGAAGAUGUUAUGUUUUAUAUACUCCCUAGUCCUUGUGACCUUGGAUUUGGAAGUAUUGCUGAGGAUAAACUGAAAUCGAAAAACCGCAGAAUGUUUAUCGUGCGAUUGCUCGAAUCAGUGUUUAGGAUAGGGGGUAUGU